AAUCCAUGAUGAGGGCAUUGAGCUUGGUAGCCUUUGAAUCUCUCCUAGGCUUCACUGAAUCCUUCCAAGCAUUUCUGUUCAAAGCUGGAGAUCUCAUUUCUCAGCUU
rfam:Brassica napus, WGS project CCCW01000000 data, contig: 13481